rnacentral:misc_RNA from 1 species
UCUCCGUAGGUGAACCUGCGGAGGGAUCAUUACAGAGUUCAUGCCCUACCGGGUAGAUCUCCCACCCUGUGUUAUUAUUACUUUGUUGCUUUGGCGGGCCGUUAGGCUCCGGCCCGACUACCGGCCCCGGCUGGUAAGCGCCCGCCAGAGGACCCAAAACCCUGAAUAUUAGUGUCGUCUGAGUACUAUAUAAUAGUUAAAACUUUCAACAACGGGUCUCUUGGUUCUG